AUUGAACGCUGGCGGCAUGCUUUACACAUGCGAGUCGAACGGUAACAGGCCUUCGGGUGCUGACGAGUGGCGAACGGGUGAGUAAUGCAUCGGAACGUACCCAGAGGUGGGGGAUAACGCAGCGAAAGCUGUGCUAAUACCGCAUGUGAUCUGGGGAUGAAAGCGGGGGACCGAGCAGCAAUGUUUGGCCUCGCGCCUUUGGAGCGGCCGAUGUCGGAUUAGCUAGUUGGUGGGGUAAAGGCCUACCAAGGCGACGAUCCGUAGCUGGUCUGAGAGGACGACCAGCCACACUGGGACUGAGACACGGCCCAGACUCCUACGGGAGGCAGCAGUGGGGAAUUUUGGACAAUGGGCGCAAGCCUGAUCCAGCAAUGCCGCGUGCGGGAAGAAGGCCUUCGGGUUGUAAACCGCUUUUGGCAGGAACGAAACGGUGUCCGCUAAUACCGGGCGCUAAUGACGGUACCUGCAGAAUAAGCACCGGCUAACUACGUG
rnacentral:rRNA from 1 species